UACUCACCAGUUCCGGCUGCUGCUGGAGUGCUUCGCCUUUAGUCCUGGAAAGGUCACAGAGGAAUCUGAGAACUUGAUUCUUCGCGUAGUUAGGUUUGAGUCCCACUUUCUUGGGCUUUUCACUUCCUCCAGCUGGGCCAGCGUGAGGUCUAGAGACUAAGACCACUCCAAGCAAGAAGCAAGGACAAUACCAAACCCCAAGUCUCCAGAUG